AUACGUAGGUGACAAGCGUUAUCCGGAUUUACUGGGCGUAAAGGGCGUGUAGGCGGUCUUGCAAGUCAGAAGUGAAAUUCCUGAGCUCAACUCGGGCGCUGCUUCUGAAACUGCAGGACUUGAGUGCUGGAGGGGAUAGCGGAAUUCCUAGUGGAGCGGUAAAAUGCGCAGAUAUUAGGAAGAACACCGGCGGCGAAGGCGGCUAUCUGGACAGUAACGGACGCUGAGGCGCGAAAGCGUGGGGAGCAAACAGGAUUAGAUACCCUGGUAGUCCUCGCCGUAAACGAUGAAUACUAGGUGUAGGGGGUAUCGACUCCCUCUGUGCCGCAGUUAACACAAUAAGUAUUCCGCCUGGGGAGUACGGCCGCAAGGUUGAAACUCAAAUGAAUUGACGGGG
rnacentral:rRNA from 1 species